GUGGGGAAUAUUGGACAAUGGGGGCAACCCUGAUCCAGCAAUGCCGCGUGUGUGAAGAAGGUCUUCGGAUUGUAAAGCACUUUCGACGGGGACGAUGAUGACGGUACCCGUAGAAGAAGCCCCGGCUAACUUCGUGCCAGCAGCCGCGGUAAUACGAAGGGGGCUAGCGUUGCUCGGAAUGACUGGGCGUAAAGGGCGUGUAGGCGGUUUACACAGUCAGAUGUGAAAUCCCCGGGCUUAACCUGGGAGCUGCAUUUGAUACGUGUAGACUAGAGUGUGAGAGAGGGUUGUGGAAUUCCCAGUGUAGAGGUGAAAUUCGUAGAUAUUGGGAAGAACACCGGUGGCGAAGGCGGCAACCUGGCUCAUGACUGACGCUGAGGCGCGAAAGCGUGGGGAGCAAACAGGUUAGGAUACCCUGGUAGUCCACGCCUGUAAACGAUGUGUGCUAGAUGUUGGGUAACUUUGUUAU
rnacentral:rRNA from 1 species